GGGAGUCUAGAAAUGGAAGAUCACCCCCAAAAAAGGGAAUAGCAUUUUCAUUUCAGAGUAAUUAGAACAAUAGUAGUAGUUAUUAACUUCCAAGCCAUAUGCCAGGUAUUUUUGCCAGGUGUUUUAGUUUUGAUAUUCUGCUCUAUUUCUUCUUUGUAACAAUCCUCCAAGGUGGAUAUAUCUGUUCUUAUUUUAUACAUGAAGAUACUGAAACUGAAAUAAUUGCUCAACAUGAUACAGCUUAUUAGUGGCAGACUUGUGUUUAAACCCAAAUAGCACUCCCAAGUUUCUAGUCUUUCUAUUGUAUUCUGACUCUUCCUCAUCUGUUCUACUUUUCAUUUUAAGCAGUAUUAACACUAAUUUAACUCUCCCAAUGAAUAAACAUAAUAUUAAAGUCCUGUCCCCAAAUGGCCUUGAACUGACCCAGUCUUUCCUCUCUUCUCCUAUCCUGUAGUUCUCAGAAUAACUGUAGAAUAUGCUGGGAAUGUAACAUCCUGAGAUACGGAUAGACUGACCGGAACAGCCUGGGCUCAGUUCCAGCCCCCCCUAGAAACAGGAUGUCCUUCAAAGCAUUGCCCAGUAGGUCUCAUGACUUGUGGGUAUAAACCCCAAGUGUUGCUGCUUUUUGGGAUUCGUCACCGUGGUGAAAGUGGGGCACACAGUUAAGACUCCAUCUACCCCGGGCAGUUUUCUUGGGAGAUUGACUCACAAUGGAUCCUAGGCUUCUGUUGGCCCUUGCUGCUUCUUUGUGUUAUGAUCCACUUUUGGACUCAGAUGAUGUCAGUUGGAUCCAAAGCAUCAUAAUGUUCUCUGUCAGCUAUUAACCUACUUAAUGGCCAUAACAGCUAAUGGUAAUCACACUUAUAUACUUUGUUUCACUUAGAGUCAGGAACUAGUAAUCUAAUUCUAUCAUUCUUUCUAUACUUGUUAGCUAUAAUCCUCCUAAAAUAAAAUUCCCUCAUCAACUA